rnacentral:lncRNA from 1 species
CAACACAAUGGCACUGAUCCUCAUCAGGCCAUUCCCCAGCCUAGAAAGCACAGUGCAUGCGCUGUAUUGACUGGGUGGAUGAGCAACAUCAUAUGAUGCCAUGUGCAGAUGAAGGAUAGCAUAUAUAUGGCGUUAACUCACCUCUUUCAGGACUACAACAUGAACCAAUGAGAUGCACUCAGGCAGGUCCCUUAGGAAAAUCAUUCUCAGCUUCUAAAGUUAUAAUAAUUCUCAGCUAAAGGAAGCAUACUGAACACAGGAAUAAAUCUCCAAGAACGCCUUGGCGUGGCCACUUCAGGACCCUUUCCUGCAGUGCGUGAAGCAGAUCCAGGUGCUGCUGGACGAGGUACCGUAAAGAGCCAGGGAAGAGGCUUGAAACAGAAUAGAGACGGAAUCACACAAACAAGCAGCAGGGCCCAUUCUCCCAGCCAUCCAACAUACGGCUUUAGUUCAUCUGAAAAGGAAACCAGGAACUAGGUGGCCUCAUGUGUCCACUGAAUCUAAACGGCAAGGCUUGGACUGGAUAUCAGCCGAGAGGCAAGACUUGAGGUGAGCACACCAGAUGCUGGAGCACUCCUGGGAAGAGAAACAGAAAGAGGAGGAGGAAGGGUGCCAAAAACAAUGUCUUAUUUGGCCAUUUUUCCCUUGAC